rnacentral:rRNA from 1 species
UACGUAGGGGGCAAGCGUUGUCCGGAAUCAUUGGGCGUAAAGAGCGUGUAGGCGGCCAGAUAAGUCCGCUGUGAAAUCUCGAGGCUCAACUUCGAGCUGUCGGUGGAAACUGUCUGGCUAGAGUCCGGAAGAGGAGAAUGGAAUUCCUGGUGUAGCGGUGAAAUGCGCAGAUAUCGGGAAGAACACCCGUGGCGAAGGCGGCACUCUGGGACGGUACUGACGCUGAGACGCGAAAGCGUGGGGAGCGAACAGG